AUCGCUUCUCAGCCUUUUGGCUAAGAUCAAGUGUAGUAUCUGUUCUUAUCAGUUUAAUAUCUGAUACGAAAAGUGGAAUGCCAAGGAGGAGGGUAGGCAGCCUGGAAGAAAAAAAGAUUCUAGCCCUA
rnacentral:snRNA from 1 species